rnacentral:lncRNA from 1 species
ACGCCGUUUGGAAGACGGCGGGGGAGUGACUUGAACAACUUCAAUCAGUCUUUUGUCUGAAGCUGAGACUAAUAGAGAAGCAGGAAUCGACUGAAAACAGAAAUAAACUAAAAUGAUGAGCAGAGAAAAAUUAUGAUUAAGAUGAGUAGAGAAAUGAUAUUUUACCGAGGAAGAAGGCGGGGCAUCAGAAAUAGGUUCUGGUGGAGA